rnacentral:tRNA from 1 species
GUAGUUCAGUUGGUUAGAAUACCGGCCUGUCACGCCGGGGGUCGCGGGUUCGAGCCCCGUCCGCUCCGCCA